rnacentral:rRNA from 1 species
UGAGGAAUAUUGGACAAUGGGUUAGCGCCUGAUCCAGCCAUCCCGCGUGAAGGACGACGGCCCUAUGGGUUGUAAACUUCUUUUGUAUAGGGAUAAACCUAGAUACGUGUAUCUAGCUGAAGGUACUAUACGAAUAAGCACCGGCUAACUCCGUGCCAGCAGCCGCGGUAAUACGGAGGGUGCAAGCGUUAUCCGGAUUUAUUGGGUUUAAAGGGUCCGUAGGCGGACUCGUAAGUCAGUGGUGAAAUCUCAUAGCUCAACUAUGAAACUGCCAUUGAUACUGCGGGUCUUGAGUAAGGUAGAAGUGGCUGGAAUAAGUAGUGUAGCGGUGAAAUGCAUAGAUAUUACUUAGAACACCAAUUGCGAAGGCAGGUCACUAUGUCUUAACUGACGCUGAUGGACGAAAGCGUGGGGAGCGAACAG